GACAGAGGAUGCAAGCGUUAUCCGGAAUGAUUGGGCGUAAAGCGUCUGUAGGUGGCUUUUUAAGUCCGCCGUCAAAUCCCAGGGCUCAACCCUGGACAGGCGGUGGAAACUACCAAGCUGGAGUACGGUAGGGGCAGAGGGAAUUUCCGGUGGAGCGGUGAAAUGCGUAGAGAUCGGAAAGAACACCAACGGCGAAAGCACUCUACUGGGCCAUGACUGACACUGAGAGACGAAAGCUAGGGGAGCAAAUGGG
rnacentral:rRNA from 1 species